rnacentral:rRNA from 1 species
AUGCAGCGGCCGUCGGAGUCGAUGCCGUCGGAGCUGCGGUGUCGUAGUUGCAAUGCAGUGGCCGUUGGAGUCGACGCCGCCGGAGCUAUGAUGCACCGGCCACCGGAGUCGACGCCGCUGGAGCUGCGGUCGUCGGAGUUGCAAUGCAGUCGACGCCGUCGGAGCUGCGGUCGUCGGAGUUGCAAUGCAGUCGACGCCGUCGGAGCUGCGGUCGUCGGAGUUGCAAUGCAGUCGACGCCGUCGGAGCUGACGCCGCCGGAGCUACGAUGCACCGGCCGCCGGAGUCGACGCUGCUGGAGCUGCGGUUGUCGGAGUUGCAAUGAAGCGGCCGUCGGAGUCGAUGCCGCCGUCGAAGCUACGAUGCAGCGGCCACAACACCGAAGCUGCGAUGCAGCGGCCGUCGACGUUGCCGCUCGUCGGGGCCUCGGGGCUGUUGGAACUUGGAACACAGGGACGUCACUAGUGGUCGUCAGUUCGUAA